UUCGAAGGAACAAAUGCUCUGUACUGUG
rnacentral:piRNA from 1 species